rnacentral:rRNA from 1 species
AACCUUUACACUGCACGACAGUGCGAUAAGGGAAUCCCAAGUGCGUAGGCAUAGAGCCUACGCUUUUGUCCACCGUAGGGAGGUGGACGAAUAAGGGCUGGGCAAGACCGGUGCCAGCCGCCGCGGUAAUACCGGCAGCCCGAGUGAUGGCCGAUCUUAUUGGGCCUAAAGCGUCCGUAGCUGGCCGCACAAGUCCAUCGGAAAAUCCACCCGCUCAACGGGUGGGCGUCCGGUGGAAACUGUGUGGCUUGGGACCGGAAGGCGCGACGGGUACGUCCGGGGUAGGAGUGAAAUCCCGUAAUCCUGGACGGACCGCCGAUGGCGAAAGCACGUCGCGAGAACGGAGCCGACAGUGAGGGACGAAAGCUAGGGUCUCGAACCGGAUUAGAUACCCGGGUAGUCCUAGCCGUAAACAAUGCCUGCUAGGUGUGGCUCCCACUACGAGUGGGUGCUGUGCCGUAGGGAAGCCGCUAAGCAGGCCGCCUGGGAAGUACGUCCGCAAGGAUGAAACUUAA